GGUCACCUGGUCAACAGGACAGCCAGGGAUACACAAAGAAACCCUGUCUUGGAAAACCAAAAUAAAAAAAUGAACGAGUAAAAUGAGUUUUACAGUAAAAGGUGAAGCAAGGGUUCUUUCCCUCCUGUAGUCUGGAAUGGCCUCUUGGGUUUGCUUUUCUCUCAACUUCAGUGGCAUGGUGACUGUUUUUAAAAAGUCAGAUGGUGGAGGCUGUAGUGUGGAGGUAGAUUCAAGAGCCUGCUUGUGUUCAUUAACCGCUGGUUAAGAAAAUGUCCACUCAGCUCCGUAAAAGACAGAAGCUCACUUCCCAGAUGCUCAGUGCCCGCCCGGACAGAAGAGUCCACUACGGCCAGAUGCUGGCAUGAAAUCUGUGAACACAGGAACUGACGUGAAGACACUGCGUGGUGUGAACAGCUAUGAGUGUCUCAGGAUCACAUGUCCAACUUCUUGAGAUGUAAGCUUGGGCUCCCCGUCCUGAGAGGGAAGUGUGGAGGACCUGGGAGCCGGUGCUGCCGUGUGGAACAGCCCGGGACCUCAUCCACGCCAGGCAGACACUCCAGUGCCAAGCCCCAGCCCUUUUCACUCAGAGGCAGAGGCAGGGGGAUCAUGAGUCCCCCUGAGUUGCCCAGGCAGUAAUCCUUUUACCUCAGCCUCCUGAGUAGCUGGCAUGUCAGGUGUGUGCCCAGCUCCACAACACUGACGACUCCUCCCUCUCGGGGAAGUUCUGGUCUUUCUCCACGAGGCAUGAUGUCGGCACAUGCUCUGGUGUAUCUGUUUUUUUGGGGUGGGGUGGGGAGGGAGCUUCCAUGUGUGUAAGUGUUUAUGAGGCAUCCCUCUCAGAAGUGGAAGAAUUCUGAAAAAACUUGAGGGUUUUAUUUUGGCGUCUGUGGAGUGAGAACUUUGCAAACACAAGGCGUCUGUGUCCUUCAUCACAGCGAGUGGAAGGCAGCAGCUCUUGGCGUUUCGGCUUUUUAGAUGACUAAUGCCUUUCCCCGCUCAGUGGCACCACCUUGUUUUUGCAUAAAUCAUACUUGUGGAAUCUUUUUUGAACACUGGGGAUUGAACCCCAAAUCGUGAGACAGCUCUUUACAGAAUUGCCCUUAAGCCCCGCUCUUUGAUGAGGAAGCGAGGUCUCCAGGGGGAUG